UAGUAAGAGAAGAUAGCAUCGUAUUUAUUCUAAUCAUAUGAUAAUUCAGGAAGCCUUUGAUCAAAGCAGAAUGAAAAUUAAAAAGAGUUUCUAAUGUUUUAUUAUUUGAAUUAUCAUUAAAAGAUUGAGAAAGAUAUGAAUAUGAAAUUGAGUUUGACAUAUAUUCAUACUCAUAUACAUAUUCGGGAUGCAGUUUGAUUAAAGGAUUGAAUUGCACGGUAACUUGCCACUGAAGGGUAUUUUUGGUAUUUCCACCAAAUUCCAUAUUUUCCGGGUAGACAUGACACGUUGCUAGACGUCAAUCUUGUCUUAUAGAUUUGAUCGAAUUAAAGAGUUUAAUUCGAUCACCAAUUAGAAAUGAUUCUAAUUGUUAAGUUUGGGUUCGCGCAGUUUGGACUUAAAUCGAUUAGAAGAGUUCUAAUCAACUUGGGUCAACUCGCACUCACACCUAUUGCUGGCUAAGUAUGGAACCCAAUGGGUCACACACAAGGAAACUUAUCAAGGGUCUAAUUGGAUUAGAUCAUAUUUGCAAGAUAAACAUCCUAGCAGGUGUUGCAAACCCUUAGCUCCUGAUUCGAAUUGGAUUCGAAUUUGAUUCUUNNNNNNNNNNNNNNNNNNNNNNNNNNNNNNNNNNNNNNNNNNNNNNNNNNNGGCACCUAAUUGGCUUGGUUUGAGUCUAAUUGGAUUAGAUUUAAUAAAUCAUUCAAUCUAGACCGUUAGAUCUUGAUCUACCGUUGGAUGAAGAUAUAAUGAAGAGUUGGUUUAACCCAAUUGGAUUGGGUUAGAGGAUGGCUAUCAUAAUUGACCAUUGGAUCUUAAUUCCACCAUUGGAUGAAGAUAUAAUGGGUCAAGUGAAUGGCGCCUUGCAUUGGAGCCCUUGGAUCAUCAUCAUGAAAGAUCAAGAGGUGAGGCAUGAUGGACAUGUGAUUAGCAUGUGAUGUUGACUUGGUCAAAAUAUGGCACCACAUGAAAGGACAUAUCAUUUGAUACACCUCCUCACUUGAUCUGCACCUCCUCUUAUUUGAUAUGGCCCUUUAGAUGAUGCCCUUUCAUGAGAGGAUGUGUGGAUGGGAUGCAUCCCUUGGAGAUGCAUCCCUACACCUUUUAUAAAUAGGCUAGCACUCCAUGGGUUUCAUCAUUCCAACUCCACCCCACUCCUCUCUUCUUUCUUUCUUACAUUAGUUUCUUUCUUUCUAGCAUUGC
rnacentral:lncRNA from 1 species